CUUUCUUUUUCUUUGGGUUCAAUGUUAAGAAGACUUAAUUUUUGGAUUCAUUAAGAGAAUAUGAGACUUUGUGUUAAAGUCAGUCAUGUAUUGUAGUCAUCUGCACACCACUUCUAUCGUUUCUUUCUAUGUAAAUUUAAUUAAUUAUUGUAAGAACUCCCUCUCUUUUAUAAUGAUGAUUUUUUUUACCUCUUUUGCUGUUUUUAUAAAUAUAAGUUUUUAGGUUUCUAAUGCAUAUCUUAUUAAUUAAUAGUAACAAAUUACAGACAUCAAGAUAUCUUUGUUAACAAUAACUAUAUAUUUAUAUAUUUUUGGGUUAUUAUUAGUUUAGCAUCGGAAAUUGUCUAACAUAAAAGUUAUAUAUUUGUGAUUAAACAUUAGCUAUUUUUGUGUUACUAUAAAUGUGAACUAAUUAGUUUUGUAUUUUUAAAACACAACAAACAUAUUUUAUUAUUCUUCCCUCAUGUUUUUUAUUUAUGUCUCGUUUAUUUUUUUUACUAUUCAAAACAAGCAUGCUAAUUUUAUUAUAAUCAAAGCUAUAUGAAUUAUAUUAAUAGAGUAUUAAAUCUAGGAAAAACAUGUGAAAAAUGUUGAGAUGAGAUCACUUUGAGAUGAGAUCAUGAGAUGAAGUGUUGAGUAAUGUAUGUGAGGAGAGAGUAUGAAGUGGUGAAGCAUUAGGAAGAAAGGGAUUGAGGAGGCUUAGUCCGUACAAUCCGUACAGGCCGUACAUGAGGAGUGGCCGUACAAGUCUUGGGUAAUACUCUUCACUAUUCAGGAUGGUUACUUGUGAAAAGGGUGAUGGUAACUAUGGAGAGUUACCAGCACUUGAUCAGACCGUUGAGGGAAGGAUAAGACCGCGGCUUGACAGGCUGUAUGCAGCUGGAAAGGGAAAGCAACCUUAUCCAUUCAUCCCACACAUGUGGAGUCUCCCAUUGGCUUAGUUUGAAACCGGCGCCUAGCUCUUCCUUGACUUCACAUGCUUUGCUUACUUUACCUUUAGGAAAACCCUUGUAUCUUCUCCUAUAUAUUUGUAAACUCUUCAUUAAUGAUAAUCAGACAGUUCUUGACACUAAAACAAUCUCUUAGACUCAAAGGCUCUCAAUCAUGAUCAUACACUAAACUCUUAGCUAAACUCGUCCUAAAUAACCUCUAGACUCUUUCUAAUCUCUUUCUUUCCUUAUAUCAAACUCAGAUUCUCUAAAACUUAUAAAAAAUACUUUGAUUCAUUUAAUUUUAAAUGACUCACUAUAUAAUAAUUUUAAAUGAAUUACCAUAUAAUAUAAUUUUAAUUGACUUACCAUAUAAUAAUUUUGAUUCAUCUUUUUAUAUUAAUAGAUGAAUUAAAUCAAAUUUCUUGAUUAAUAUAAUUUUAAAUGACUUACCAUAUAAUUUUGGGCUUUUUGCAAAAUUGACCUACAACUUAAAGUCAAACACAAAACUAACCUCCUUUUUUUUUGAAAAUUGGUUUUGCCCUAUUCACCCCACAAGUUCAUAUAAUUUACGAAAAUGCCAUCAAUUUUUUUUUUCUUUUUUUUUCCGAAAAUGACAUCUUUACUCUCUCACCCUCAUCAUCUUCAAGUAAUUACAAGAUUGUCAUUAUCAUCAAUACCACAACCACCAUGAACAACCAAUUUGAAGCUUUUAAUGCUCCCAAAAUCGAUUUACCCUUCUUCUUUUUCCAUUCUUGUGAACUAAACACAACAUAUCUCUCACUUUCUCUCCACAAUGAGCUAAAAACCCAAGAUUUUGAUUCUAAAAUUUUUAUGGUUCAUAGAGUCAUAGAAGCUAACGAUUCUGGGUGGGUGACUUUCGUUUGUGAUUCUGUGUGCUUGGAGAAGCCUUAUGUAUGCUAAGGAACUUAUCUCACCAAUUUAAGGUAUGACAUCGAGUUUUUUUCCAGAUCUGUUUGUUAGAAGAAUUACUUGGGAAGUCGUCUGGCUGUAGACGACUUAACUGGAAGUCGUCUGGCUGUAGACGACUUACCUGGAAGUCGUCUGGUCAACGCAAAGGUUAUUUUUGCAAUUGACUUUGAAAUCUGUAACCUAAGACGACUGAAAGUUAAGUCGUCUACUAUUGUUUGGUUUCAAAAAAAUUUUCAAAGAACCUAGACGACUUACAUUUCAGUCGUCAUAGGUUAGUUUUGCAUUUGACUGGAUAAUUAGAGAAGUUUGACUUCUCCAGACGACUUACAUUUCAGUCGUCUGUCGAAAAUUAAAAUAAUAAUAUUUUUUAAAAAGUAAACGACUUACAAUUAAGUAGUCAUAGGUUAGUUUUGCAAUUGAAAAAAAAACUUCAAGAUUUAAUUAUACACAGACGACUUAUAAUUCAGUCAUCCACCAGACGACUUACUUGUAAGUCGUCGAGGAUUUUUUUUCGAGAUUCUGGUCAAACCUCGUAAAUCCUGGACGACUUACAUUUCAGUCGUCUUGUGGACGACUGAAUUAUAAGUCGUCUGUAUAUAAUUAAAUCUUGAAGUUUUUUUUUCAAUUGCAAAACUAACCUAUGACGACUUAACUGUAAGUCGUCUACUUUAAAAAAAAAAUUAUUAUUUUAAUUUUCACUAGACGACUAAAAUGUAAGUCGUCCAGAAAAGUCAAACUUCUGAAAUAAUCCAGUCAAAUGCAAAACUAACCUAUGACGACUGAAAUGUAAGUCGUCUAGCUUUUUUGGAGUUUUUUUUUUAACCAAACAAUAGUAGAUGACUUAUUUUUCUGUCGUCCGAAAUAACAGAUUUCAAAGUCAAUUGCAAAAAUAACCUCUGCGUUGACCAGACGACGUAUAGUUUAGUCGUCUAGACAACUUAGAUUGAAGUCGUCUGCGUCUUCUCCGCUAGUUUUUAAGUCUUCUACGUUAGUUUUUGAAUAACUUGUAUUUUUAAGAGUGAUAAGUAACUUCAAGAUAUGUAAAACUCAUAUUUACAAAAUAUGUUCUCUCCCUUAGUUUUACUAAUUUUGACUAAGUUUUUCAAUGCAAACUUAUAAAAAAAUAUGAUAUGCUUUGACUAGUUACUAUUGUUUGUUUCUAUCUCUUAAGUAUUAUUGUUAUAGACAAUAAUGAUGACUAUUGUUAUGAGUUGGAAGAAGGGUUAAAUGCUUCUUAAAAUGUUGUAUCAAUAUGAAGCUACCAACAUUCUUGUUUAUUAAGAUGAGAAAAGGCCAUUGGAGUUUAUUAUUGCAUAUGAGAGAUCCAAAGAUAAGAAAAAGACUACUGAAGUCUAUUAUUUCAUUGAUUUGUAAAUGUGUAAACACAUUGUUAGCACAUUUAAUACAUCUUGGAAAACAUUAUUACUGAUUUUACAAAAAAUUCACAACUAAAAGAGUAGACAUGCAAUUCACAAAACAGACCACAAACAAAACUAUUAUAGAUCAUUCCUCUACAAAGACAAGCUUGGAUUCCACUUGAGUAGACAAGACCAGAAGACUUUUAAGAAGUCCAGACGACUUCUAAGAAGUCCAGACGACUUCCCGGAAGUUCAGACGACUUUGUCAGAAGACUUUUAGGAAGUUCAGACGACUUCCAGACGACUUUACAGGAAGUCCAGACGACUUUUAGGAAGUCCAGACGACUUCCGGACGACUUCCAGACGACUUCCGGACGACUUCCAGACGACUUCCAGACGACUUCCAGACGACUUCCAGACGACUUCCAGACGACUUUCAGAUGACUUCCAGACGACUUCCAGACGACUAACAAGUAAGUCGUCCCAGAAGUCUUCCAGAUCUGAAAAACCUGCAUAUUAAAUCCAGAUCUGAAAAUCCUGCAUAUUCAAAAACGUUCAAAUGGCUUUAAAACAGAAAAAUGAGUGGAAGAUUAGAUAAAUCUACCUUUACAGAACACACAAAAAUAGAUAUCUAAAAAUAAUAGAUCUACCUUUAAAUUAGUGGAAGAUGAGUACCAUCUAAUUAAAAACCUGCAAAAAAGAUAGAUUAGUAAGAAAGACAUGAGACAAAACUGAAAAAUUCAUAUAAAGUUUGGUGUUUUCAAGUCAAAGAGAUUAGAGUGGGUUUGGAGAGUUUUAGUUUGGGAAAAAAGUAAGAACUUUAUACAACAAGAAGUUACCAAAUGAAGAAAAAUCAGACAUAAAAACUUACCAAAACGCUCAGAAAAAUCCAGACGACUUCCUGGAAGUCCAGACGACUUCCUGGAAGUCCAGACGACUUCCUGGAAGUCCAGACGACUUCCUGGAAGUCCAGACGACUUCCUGGAAGUCCAGACGACUUCCUGGAAGUCCAGACGACUUCCUGGAAGUCCAGACGACUUCCUGGAAGUCCAGACGACUUCCUGGAAGUCCAGACGACUUCCUGGAAGUCCAGACGACUUCCUGGAAGUCCAGACGACUUCCUGGAAGUCCAGACGACUUCCUGGAAGUCCAGACGACUUCCUGGAAGUCCAGACGACUUCCUGGAAGUCCAGACGACUUCCUGGAAGUCCAGACGACUUCCUGGAAGUCCAGACGACUUUGUCAGAAGACUUCCAAGAAGUCCAGACGACUUCCAGACGACUAACAAGUAAGUCGUCUCAAAAGUCUUCCAGAUCUGAAAAACCUGCAUAUCAAAUCCAGAUCUGAAAAACCUGCAUAUCCAAAAACGUUCAAAUGACUUAAAAAUAGAGAAAAUGAGUGGAAAAAUAGAUAAAUCUACAUUUAUAGAACACACAAAAAUACAUAUCUAAAAUUAAUAGAUCUACCUUUAAAUUAGUGGAAAAUGAGUACCAUUUGAUUAAAAACCUGCAAAAGAGAUAGAUUAGUAAGAAAUACAUGAGACAAAACUGAAAAAUUCAUAUAAAGUUUGGUGUUUUCAAGUCAAAGAGAUUAGAGAGAGGUUGGAGAGUUUUAGAAUGAUGAACAUUACAUUUUUGUUGCAACCAUUUGAGAGGAGGAGAGAGAAUGUGUAAAUUUUUCUUUAUAUAGGGAGACAAAAAAUCCAAUUAGGUUAAAUAUUUUUGACUCAGACGACUUCCUAGACGACUUACACUUCAGUCGUCUGUUGAAGAAAUUAAAACAGACGACUUACAUGUAAGUCAUCUAGAAGAGUUUAAUAUUUUUAGUGGGAAAUUAAAUAUUUUUAGCGGGAAACUAAAAUAGAAGACUUUUCAGACGACUUACAAGUAAGUCGUCUGGUUUAAAUUAUUUAAGCGGGAAAUUUUUUUUUAAAAAAAAAUUUAGGCGGGGAUAUUUGGACGACUUACAUGUAAGUCGUCCAAAUAUCCCCGCCUAAAUUUUUUUUUAAAAAAAAAUUUAGGCGGGGAUAUUUGGACGACUUACAUGUAAGUCGUCUGUUUUAAUUUCUUCACCAGACGACUGAAAUAUAAGUCGUCCGAGUAAAAUGAUCCGGUUAGGUUAAAACGUACAUUGGUAAAAUUAAAGGUUCGGUACGAUGUGGACGACUGAAAUAUACGUCGUCCGGGUAAAUUAUUCAACAGACGACUGAAAUAUAAGUCGUCCACACCCUAAACAUAACCCCUAAACUUAUUUAUCUAAUUAAGCACUUCAUAAAACCAAAUCAAACUUGAAAAGUGUUUACUAUACACAGAAAUAAAGACAUAUAGGUGAAAAAUAAUUUUUGUAAAAAACAUUUUAGUUUUCCAAAAUCUAACCCUAACAAUACAUACAAUACUACAACAUAUGUUUGCCAAACUCCUAAACCAAAGUAUUUCAUGAUUCACUACUUCCACUCAUCUAUCUUCAGAACAAAUCAAUUUUAUCAUAUCUUAAUUUAUAUCACUUAAAACUGUUUAUAAUUACUUGAUUUUUAUUUUUCACGCAUCAAAAUAUUUUUUUACAAGAUUUAUAAAUUAUUUUUAAAAUAAACUGGUACCAGACGACUUACACUUCAGUCGUCCAGACGACUUCCAACAUCUCAGACGACUCAGACGAUUUACUGGGGCUAUAUUCGUAAAAAUGGCUUCCGUUUUUUUGUUUGGUCACAAGGGGUUGAGCUGUAAUUUCACUAGGCUUUUAGGUUAGUUUUGCAUUUGAUUCAAGUUUGGGUAUAGGUUUGGGAUUAAAAUCAAGUUGUGGGUUAGUUUUGGCAAAAACCCCUUUAUUAUGUUUUAAAAUAUAAAAAAUAUUUUAAUCAUUUCUAAAAGUGAUAACUUAUCUAUGAUAUCACAUUGUCAUUGGAAAAUGAUGAAUUUUUUUUAAAAAAUUAUAUAAUUGACUAUUUUGCAGUCAUUUAUAUAGAGAGAGAGAGAGUGAAUGAGUGAAGUUUAAUUAAUAUUAUUAGGUUUACAUUAAUUAGUAGAAUCUGUGAUUUAUUGUAUUUACUACCAAUAUAAAUAUAUUAAAAAUGUUUUAUAAUUGUUUAUGUAUUUAAAUGUAUAUUAUCAAUUUAUAUAAUGUAAUCUAUGAUAUUUAAUUGUUUCUAUAAAUAAAUUAUAUUAAUUCAUCUAUAUUUAAGAUGUUUAAUUCUAUGUUUGGAAACAUAUAUUAUAUUAUGUAAUUCUAGGGUUAGUUUUCUUUUAAAAAUUUUAAUUAAAUAAAUAAAAAAUUAAAAACCAUGAACCAAUCAAAUUAUAAUAAUUAAUUAAAAAUCUCUCAUAUGAGCGACACGUCAGCAGAAAUUAUUUAAGUGACUUCUCAAAUAAUAUAUAGAGGGAUUUAAAUGUAUAUUAUCAAUUUAUAUACUGUAUUCUAUGAUAUUUAAUUGUUUCUAUAAAUAAAUUUUAUUAAUUCAUCUAUAUUUAAGAUGUUUAAUUAUAUGUUUGGAAAUAUAUAUUAGAUUACGUAAUUCUAGGGUUAGUUUCCUUUUAAAAAUUUUAAUUAAAUAAAUUAAAAAUUAAAAAUCAUCAACUAAUCAAAUUAUAACAAUUAAUUGGAAAUUUCUCAUAUUAACGACACGUCAUUAGAAAUUACUUAAGUGAUUUCUCAGAUUGAUAUAUAGGGGGAUUGCAGGAGAAAAAUGAUUUGCAUGGUCCAGAAAAGUGCACGCAUGUUUCUUUGCGGGCCAUUCCCUUAACAGUCUACUACUCGUCUACUCCAUAAAUCAACUCAGGCAUGGUGGGAUCGGUGUAUAACAUUAAUUGAUACUAAGAAAAAUGGCAAACAUUGGAUCUGCCAAGUACUGCUGCUACUUCCCCAGACCACAAUCGACAAAUGAAUGCUCCUUUGACGUAACUGUUUUUUUUUUCCCUUCAUUUCAUUGUUUAGGGGUUUUUGGACAACAAAAGAAAAAAAUGGUUAUAAUCAAUCGUUUAAAACCUUGGUGAUCUAUUAAAAUACAUCAAUAAUAUAUGAUUAUCAACUAAUGCAUCUUUUAACUUGUCCAUAAAUAUCCCUUGUGAGAUAGUUAACUAAAAGCCUUAAACAAUUCUUUCUUUUUCUUUGGGUUCAAUGUGACGAAGACUUGAUUUUCGGAUUCAUUAAGAGAAUAUGAGACUUUGUGUUAAAGUCAGACAUGUAUUGUAGUCAUCUGCACACCACUUCUAUCAUUUCUUUCUAUGUAAAUUUAAUUAAUCAUUGUAAGAACUCCCUCUCUUUUAUAAUGAUGAUUUUUUUUACCUCUUUUGCUGUUUUUGUAAAUAUAAGUUUUUAGGUUUCUAAUGCAUAU
rnacentral:lncRNA from 1 species